GCGCGGAAGAUGUAACGGGGCUAAACCAUGCACCGAAGCUGCGGCAGCGAACGUAUCACUUAAAGCGAUUCAGCGGGUUACGAUUGACGGAGCGAAGCGACGUCAAAGCGUAUACAAAGUCGAGUCGGUUUAAGGAUACGUUCGUUGGGUAGGGGAGCGUUCUGUAAGCCUGUGAAGGUGGCCUGUGAGGGUUGCUGGAGGUAUCAGAAGUGCGAAUGCUGACAUAAGUAACGAUAAAGCGGGUGAAAAGCCCGCUCGCCGGAAGACCAAGGGUUCCUGUCCAACGUUAAUCGGGGCAGGGUGAGUCGACCCCUAAGGCGAGGCCGAAAGGCGUAGUCGAUGGGAAACGGGUUAAUAUUCCCGUACUUGGUGUUACUGCGAAGGGGGGACGGAGAAGGCUAUGUUGGCCGGGCGACGGUUGUCCCGGUUUAAGCGUGUAGGUGUGUGUUCCAGGUAAAUCCGGUUCACUUUAACACUGAGGCGUGAUGACGAGGCACUACGGUGCUGAAGCAACAAAUGCCCUGCUUCCAGGAAAAGCCUCUAAGCAUCAGGUAACAUCAAAUCGUACCCCAAACCGACACAGGUGGUCAGGUAGAGAAUACCAAGGCGCUUGAGAGAACUCGGGUGAAGGAACUAGGCAAAAUGGUGCCGUAACUUCGGGAGAAGGCACGCUGACACGUAGGUGAAGUGAUUUACUCAUGGAGCUGAAGUCAGUCGAAGAUACCAGCUGGCUGCAACUGUUUAUUAAAAACACAGCACUGUGCAAACACGAAAGUGGACGUAUACGGUGUGACGCCUGCCCGGUGCCGGAAGGUUAAUUGAUGGGGUCAGCGCAAGCGAAGCUCCUGAUCGAAGCCCCGGUAAACGGCGGCCGUAACUAUAACGGUCCUAAGGUAGCGAAAUUCCUUGUCGGGUAAGUUCCGACCUGCACGAAUGGCGUAAUGAUGGCCAGGCUGUCUCCACCCGAGACUCAGUGAAAUUGAACUCGCUGUGAAGAUGCAGUGUACCCGCGGCAAGACGGAAAGACCCCGUGAACCUUUACUAUAGCUUGACACUGAACAUUGAGCCUUGAUGUGUAGGAUAGGUGGGAGGCUUUGAAGUGUGGACGCCAGUCUGCAUGGAGCCGACCUUGAAAUACCACCCUUUAAUGUUUGAUGUUCUAACGUGGACCCGUAAUCCGGGUUGCGGACAGUGUCUGGUGGGUAGUUUGACUGGGGCGGUCUCCUCCUAAAGAGUAACGGAGGAGCACGAAGGUUGGCUAAUCCUGGUCGGACAUCAGGAGGUUAGUGCAAUGGCAUAAGCCAGCUUGACUGCGAGCGUGACGGCGCGAGCAGGUGCGAAAGCAGGUCAUAGUGAUCCGGUGGUUCUGAAUGGAAGGGCCAUCGCUCAACGGAUAAAAGGUACUCCGGGGAUAACAGGCUGAUACCGCCCAAGAGUUCAUAUCGACGGCGGUGUUUGGCACCUCGAUGUCGGCUCAUCACAUCCUGGGGCUGAAGUAGGUCCCAAGGGUAUGGCUGUUCGCCAUUUAAAGUGGUACGCGAGCUGGGUUUAGAACGUCGUGAGACAGUUCGGUCCCUAUCUGCCGUGGGCGCUGGAGAACUGAGGGGGGCUGCUCCUAGUACGAGAGGACCGGAGUGGACGCAUCACUGGUGUUCGGGUUGUCAUGCCAAUGGCACUGCCCGGUAGCUAAAUGCGGAAGAGAUAAGUGCUGAAAGCAUCUAAGCACGAAACUUGCCCCGA
rnacentral:rRNA from 1 species